rnacentral:rRNA from 1 species
UUGGGCGAGAGUAGUACUAGGAUGGGUGACCCCCUGGGAAGUCCUUGUGUUGCAUCCCU